rnacentral:rRNA from 1 species
UACGAAGGGUGCAAACGUUGCUCGGAAUCAUUGGGCGUAAAGCGCACGUAGGCGGCUUGUUAAGUCAGGGGUGAAAUCCUGGAGCUCAACUCCAGAACUGCCUUUGAUACUGGCGAGCUUGAGUCCGGGAGAGGUGAGUGGAACUGCGAGUGUAGAGGUGAAAUUCGUAGAUAUUCGCAAGAACACCAGUGGCGAAGGCGGCUCACUGGCCCGGUACUGACGCUGAGGUGCGAAAGCGUGGGGAGCAAACAGG